UACGGAAGGCAGCAGUGGGGAAUAUUGCACAAUGGGCGCAAGCCUGAUGCAGCCAUGCCGCGUGUAUGAAGAAGGCCUUCGGGUUGUAAAGUACUUUCAGUCGUGAGGAAGGUGUUAAGGUUAAUAACCUUAGCAAUUGACGUUAGCGACAGAAGAAGCACCGGCUAACUCCGUGCCAGCAGCCGCGGUAAUACGGAGGGUGCGAGCGUUAAUCGGAAUUACUGGGCGUAAAGGGCACGCAGGCGGUUAAUUAAGUUGGAUGUGAAAUCCCCGGGCUUAACCUGGGAAUGGCAUUCAAGACUGGUUAGCUAGAGUCUUGUAGAGGGGGUAGAAUUCCAUGUGUAGCGGUGAAAUGCGUAGAGAUGUGGAGGAAUACCGGUGGGCGAAGGCGGCCCCUGGGACAAAGACUGACGCUCAUGUGCGAAAGCGUGGGGAGCAAAACAGGGAUUAGAUACC
rnacentral:rRNA from 1 species